rnacentral:rRNA from 1 species
CAGCCGCCGCGGUAAUACGUAGGUGGCAAGCGUUGUCCGGAUUUAUUGGGCGUAAAGCGAGCGCAGGCGGUUUCUUAAGUCUGAUGUGAAAGCCCCCGGCUCAACCGGGGAGGGUCAUUGGAAACUGGGAGACUUGAGUGCAGAAGAGGAGAGUGGAAUUCCAUGUGUAGCGGUGAAAUGCGUAGAUAUAUGGAGGAACACCAGUGGCGAAGGCGGCUCUCUGGUCUGUAACUGACGCUGAGGCUCGAAAGCGUGGGGAGCGAACAGGAUUAGAUACCCCAGUAGUCCCUGUCUCUUAUAC